rnacentral:lncRNA from 1 species
UGGGGGAUUUGAAGACACACUAAGUGAUAGUGAUAAUAUUUAGAUAAUUUCUAAUAACCUGAAGAGUGUGGACACACACACACAAUCACACGAUCACACAAAUACACACAUAUUGGGUAGCUGCAAACCAGAACCCUCAAAGGGAUUUAAUUUUUUCCAGUCUAUGAAAUCUGAAUAAUACAUGUCUCCACAUCCUCGCCAGCAUCUGCUGUCACCUGAGUGUUUGGUCUUAGCCAUUCUGACUGAUGUGAGGUGGAAUCUCAGGGUUGUUUUAAUUUGCAUUUCCCUGAUGACUAAGGAUGUUGAACAUGUCUUUAGGUGCUUCUCAGCCAUUCGGCAUUCCUCAGCUGAGAAUUCUUUGUUUAGCUCUGUACCCCAUUUUUAAUAGGGUUAUUUGGCUCUCUAGAGUCUUUGUAUAUAUUGGAUAUUAGCCCUCUAUCAGGUGUAGGAUUGAUAAAGAUCUUUUCCCA